AUACGAGAUCUUGGGAAGAAAUGAUACGAUUCAGAAAACAAGGGAGGUGGAGACAGAGCUCAGAAAAAUAGGGAUGCGGUGAGAAACGCCACGAACCAGGACUAUUUAUUCGUCGAUGCCAAACGGUACUCACAUUGAGAGGAGGGUGCAGUUGUUGAAGUGCUGGUGGAAAAAGUGAAAGAGAAAAAAAGGAGUUAGUGCCCUUCUCAGCUAAUGCUUCAAGUGGUUAAGUAUAGUCCACGGUACUUUUGGAACGAGCUGGUUAAUUGUUGUAGCACUAUGCCCAUGACCAAGAUUCAUUCCAGUAACUGCUUGAAUGGUCUAGUCAGAGCAGCAAAGUGUACUGGGUUUUCUUGUAUUCAUACAUCUGAAGUGAUCUCUAAUAACCCUUGAAAUUUGAUAUUGAACUGCAUUCUUAAGAGCAGCGUGGUGAAUAUCUUCCCAUGUUAUUAUUGGUUGAGGAGUAAUAGGAUUUUGAUCCAGUGACAAUGAAUGAAUGCUAUUCUAUUUCCAAGUCAGGAUAGUUUGUAACUUGGACAGAAAGUUUAGAGGUGGAGUUGUUUCCGUUACCAUUCUCAUGGAAUUCAAAGUGCAGCCCACAUAAAGGUCACACCAGAGGCUGUUAAUUUAAUUAAUUGGUUAACAGAAUUAUCACUUCACUCUUCAAAAUGGAGAGGAAUUAUCCCCAGGCCAACAACAGCAUGAGGUGUGUUAUUUUGUUUGAGAUGCACGUCUUUGUGUGUCUAACACAGGGAAAGCCUAGUGUGUGCUAGAUUUAGUAGAAGUCAUUGGAACAUCUUCAGCUAAAAUCACUGUGGACCAUAGCUGCUGUGUAUUUGAUAAAAUCACACAGUCUUACAGUUUGAUACUUCCUCAAAGAGAUAUUUCAGGCUUCAUCAUGGUUAGUGUGGUUAAUUCAAGGUAUAGUCAGUCAAGAAUGUGGAACUACAACAGAAAUGUGGAAAGUUAACUUCAUAAACACACAAACCAUUCUGUGUAUUCAUUACCCCUUGUCUUAUGGUUUAUGUUACCCAGAAGUUCUGCUCAAAAAGUCUUCUGAGCUGAUUCAUCCCAGCUUGUUCCCCAUCAUUCUUCUGUUUGUAGUAUCAGUUAAGCAUCCUCUUCUACAAGAAAGAGGGUGUUCAAUGUCCUGCAGUCUGCCUCGAUGAAAUACAGAUUAUAUUUAAAUAGCAGGUGAAAUGCGAUAGUUAUCAGAUGUGGAUGCAAUUAUGGAGCAAUGGUGAAUGAUAUUGGUAAAAAGAAGACACAAACUGCUGAUGCUAAAAACUGGAGUGAAAAACAAGGUGAUGGAAGUCUUUGGGCAGCACCUGUUGUGAGAAAUGAAUAGCUAUUAUUCUGGACCAAGAUAUAUAUAGCCAGUAUAAAAAUGUGAAGGGGAAGGGUAGAGCAAGAGCUAGCAAGGGAUGGGUGGAUCCAAGUGAGGAGGGGUGAUAGGCAGAUAGGGGAGAGUGGAGGAAGCUGGGAAGAAAUAAUUAAAAGUAACAUAGGGUCAAAGAUGAUGGAAUCAGAUUGGAGAGGAAUAUGGAAUCAAGAGAUUUGGGUAAAAACCCUAACUGAUAGGUUAUUCUCACCUGAGUAAUAAGGACAUGUUGCACGGAGUUUGUGUGUACGAGUGUAGUAGUGUUAAUAAUGGCAACAAAGAUUUGGAGCCAACUGUACUGAGUUUGGGUCCAGAUGAACAUAAUCUUCUCUCAUUGCUGCUUUAUAGUGGAUUAGGAGGGCUUCAUAAGGGUAUUUCUCCCCUCAAUGCUGUGAACCAAAAUAUCCAGAGCUACAUUAGGAAAUUUUGGAUAUCCACUCCUGUCCAUGCCUAACCAAACUUAUCAAGCUUUUGCAAAGUUUCCAUCAGAAGUUUAUGUGCAUGUGUAUGCAUUUAUAUUUGAAUUCUUGUGAAAUUGAUAAUGGGGUGGCUUUUUGAUCCUUUGGUUCAAAACACUUCAAAAUCGGUUUUUUCCAGAUGCUCUAGUUUCCUCUCGCAGUCAAAGAGGUACCAGGUAGGUUAAUUAGCCAUUGUGAAUUGUCUCGUGAUUAGGUUAGGAUUAAUUGGUUUGUCGGGGGUUGCGGAGACGGCAUGUCUCAAAGGACCAGAGGGGCUUACUCCGUGCGGUAUCCCAAAAUAACUAAAUAAAAACAAAUUUACCCAGAUUCAUUUUGUCAGUUUUCAUUGCAAUCUUGAAGACCAGACUAUUAUGAUGAGUUGACGCUCUCCAGAGAAAGCUUACUCUGACAUCAAGAACAGUGCAUUACGCAUUCCAGUUUGUAGAAAAAUAAUGUAGAAUCUCACUGGUAAUCCUUCAGCCAAAGUGCACAGCUGUUAUCAGUAGUCAAUUAGGUCCUUCUAACUGAAUAAAUACAUAGAAAAUGAACACAGAACGGUUGACAGCAUAUCAUUUAGACCAUGUGUGGAUUACAAGUAUGACCACAGAGGAAAAACAGAUCUAACAAUCUGAUGAAUAAUGCAAAUUUACCCUUGCAUGUCCAUACAAUUGAUAGCUGUUCCACAAUGAUAAUCUAAAGCUGUUCACCUAAUGUUAGCAUUUUGGGACUGUGUCACAUCCCUGACUGAGUCAUUGUACCAUAAAAUCCACAGAAAACUAAUCCAGAAUGGUCUUCAGAAAUAAUAGUUUCGUGUGGGCUAAAAUCACAUCUUCCUGUAAUGUGUUCAAACAAGACUUAAUUUCAUUUCAGUCAAUUCAUCAUUUUAAGUGCUGCCCCCCAAUAUGCAGGUAAAUGUGUAUCUGUUCUGCCUUAACACUGUUUUAGGUUUCUUAGAACCAGUGAGUGAGUGAGUCAGACAGUGUUGACCAUGGAUGUUGCGUCCCAGCUGUUUAGAUACGCAAGCCUGGGCAGUACGAUAUGGAAAACAAGCUGUUGCCCCUGUAGCAAGCUCCGCCUCUCCAUGCAUUUGAUAAACCGAAAGGACUGGCAGAGACCGAUACGGUUGGUACCACUCAGCUGGCAAUUAAAUUGUUAACAGGCAGAAAUUUAUACAAACAUUACAAAUAUGCCAAAAUGAAGCAUAAAUCUAAAUUUUAAGAAUGGGUUAGUUUAUAGAUGGUGAAAAUCUUUUGUUUACUAUUUGAAAAUUUGGUCAAUUGUAGCACUCAGGAGAUGAGCACUGAAGUGUACAAGCAACUAUCACUUGGUCCCUCUGAAUGAGGUUACUAAUUUAGUCUAAAAUUAGGUGCAAUUUUCUGUGAUGGGCCUCAUCCACAUUGCACCAGACUUGAGAAUACAACAAUGAAAUUCAUUUCCCACAGAGAAGAAAGCUUUCUUUGGGUGAUUUUGAAGUGAUUGUGACUGAUUUAUUUAUUCAUCCAGUUCAUGUAAUGGUAAGUGAUUUGUCACGUUAUGAACUGUCUAUAAAUCUCUGCGCUCUCCAUUUUUUUACUGUUCUCAUUGCUGUGCUUUGCAAGUCUGAAAAGUUACAUCCAGAAACUGUGAAAGAGACUCUUCACUGUUCACACUCAGGAACUCAGUGGUUUAGCAAGCUUGAUUUCUCAACUGUUGUCAUUGUACAUCAUUAUGUCAAUUAUCCAGCAUUUUGUGAGAGUCUGGCAAGGAUGCUGACCUUGACUUUAUUACGGUUUAUAUGUUGUGUUCUCUUGUUGCAGAAGCAUUGGAUUGUCUGUUCUACUUCAAAGAAAAUGAUGAGAGGAAUUUGCUCAGUGCAGCACUGUUCCUGAUGCCUUGUUCUUGAAAAAUUUCCACUUUGUUUCUGAUUUCUGUUUUUUGUUUCCUUUUCACAAGACUAACCAUAAUUGUAAAGAGGUUGAGCCAUAAUAAAAGAUAGGAAAAGCAGAAAUCUUACAGUCAAGAAAGGCAAGAUUUAAGGAAGACCUAGAUACAUAAUGUAAAUUAAUAAUGUACAUUAAACAAGAUUAAAUUCAA